rnacentral:rRNA from 1 species
UACGAAGGGGGGCUAGCGUUGCUCGGAAUCACUGGGCGUAAAGGGCGCGUAGGCGGCGUUUUAAGUCGGGGGUGAAAGCCUGUGGCUCAACCACAGAAUUGCCUUCGAUACUGGGACGCUUGAGUGUGGUAGAGGUUGGGUGGAACUGCGAGUGUAGAGGUGAAAUUCGUAGAUAUUCGCAAGAACACCGGUGGCGAAGGCGGCCAACUGGACCAUCACUGACGCUG